AAUAACAUAAAAACUGUUCGUUUCUGUGUGUGUUACAAUUUAACGUUGCGUCGUUUGUUUUCUCUUAUUUUUGAGUGUAAAUUGACAUUGCGAUAAGACGUGUCACGGUACUUGUCUAUCCAAAAUUCAUGUAUUUGGUUUUGAUGUUAUAUUUGUUAUUCUCGUGGGAUUUUGUCUGAUGCUUGGUCCGUUUCUGUGUGUGUUAGUUACAUUGUAGUGUUGUGUUGUUGUUCUCCUCUUAUAUUUAUGCGUUUCCGUCAGUUUUAGUUUGUUACCCCGAUUUUGUUUUUUG
rnacentral:lncRNA from 1 species